AUGCGACUAGUCAUGGAGAACUCCCCUCUCCUACGCUUCAUCUCACUCACUGUCUCACUAGCCACGUUUCUCCAGGCAAAGGCAGUGCCGUCCCUGCAAGAACAAGCAGGAGCCCUCCUUGCCUGGAAAGACACACUAGAAAGCUACCCUGCCCAGCUUCAGUCCUGGGGAAUGAGAAACAACACUAACCGGCCCUGCAGCUGGUACGGCAUCGAGUGCAGCAAGCAUCAAGAAAGCCACCAAGAGGUGAUCACCAAGAUCUCUCUACGUGGGCUACGGCUGAGAGGGGAGCUCGACGCCCUCAACUUCACGGCGUUGGCGACCCUGACGAGCAUCCAACUCUCGCACAACAGGCUCACCGGGAGGAUCCCUCCGAGCAUUGCGUCGCUCGGAGAGCUCCGCUUCCUGCUUCUUCGACGCAAUCAGAUAAGGGGCCCUUUAUCACCUGCUUUAGCAUCCUUGAAAAAACUACGGUGCUUAAUGCUCCAGCAGAAUGAACUCUCUGGUGAAAUACCAAGGAAACUAUGA
rnacentral:rRNA from 1 species